rnacentral:rRNA from 1 species
UGCAGAAUCCCGUGAACCAUCGAGUCUUUGAAUGCAAGUUGCGCACGAGGCCAUUAGGUCGAGUGCACGUCUGUUUGGGCGUCAUGUAAAGCGUCAUUCCAAUCUCCCACAGGCAUCGAAUCCAGUCUGGGUGAAGGUGGAUAUGGAGAAUGACCUUCCGUGCUUUUACGGUAGGUUUAAGUGAUUGUCGUUGCCAAGGUAUAUGCGAGGCGAAUGGUGUGUCGAGUUAACGCACGAUGUCUCUAAUCGCGUCCGUGAGACCUAGGCAUGAUGUGACAAAUAAUCGUAACCAUUGUCGAUGUUUGCUUUGAUAGCAAGCUUGGACCAUGACCUCAGAUCAGACGGGGCGACCCGCUGAGUUUAAGCAUAUCAAUAAGCGGAGGAGAAGAAACUUACGAAGAUUCCCUUAGUAACGGCGAGCGAAUCGGGAAAAGCCCAGCUUGAAAAUUAGGUGGCUAC